CGGGAUAGAUCCCUGGGUAGUCACGCCGUAACGAUGAAUGCUAGGUGUUAGGGGUUUCGAUACCCUUGGUGCCGAAGUUAACACAUUAAGCAUUCCGCCUGGGGAGUACGGUCGCAAGACUGAAACUCAAAGGAAUUGACGGGGACCCGCACAAGCAGUGGAGUAUGUGGUUUAAUUCGAAGCAACGCGAAGAACCUUACCAAGUCUUGACAUCCCUCUGAAUCCUCUAGAGAUAGAGGCGGCCUUCGGGACAGAGGUGACAGGUGGUGCAUGGUUGUCUUCACCUCGUGUCGUGAGAUGUUGGGUUAAGUCCCGCAACGAGCGCAACCCUUGAUUUUAGUUGCCAGCACUUUGGGUGGGCACUCUAAAAUGACUGCCGGUGACAAACCGGAAGAAGGGGGGGAUGACGUCAAAUCAUCAUGCCCCUUAUGACUUGGGCUACACACGUACUACAAUGGCUGGUACAACGGGAAGCGAAGCCGCGAGGUGGAGCCAAUCCUAUAAAAGCCAGUCUCAGUUCGGAUUGCAUGCUGCAACUCGCCUGCUUGAAGUCGGAAUUGCUAGUAAUCGCGGAUCAACAUGCCCCGGUGAAUACUUUCCCGGGUCUUGUACACACCGCCCGUCCCACCACGAGAGUUUACAACACCCGAAGUCGGUGGGGUAACCCUUAAGGGAGCCAGCCGCCGAAGGUGGGGUAGAUUAUUGGGGUGAAUCU
rnacentral:rRNA from 1 species